AGAGUUUGAUCCUGGCUCAGAGCGAACGCUGGCGGCAGGCCUAACACAUGCAAGUCGAGCGCCCCGCAAGGGGAGCGGCAGACGGGAGAGUAACACGUGGGAACGUACCCUUCAGUUCGGAACAACCCAGGGAAACUUGGGCUAAUACCGAAUACGUCCGCAAGGAGAAAGAUUUAUCGCCGGAAGAUCGGCCCGCGUCC
rnacentral:rRNA from 1 species